ACUUUCAUGCUCCUUAAAUCCAAUGACCCAGCACCAUUCUCCGUCAAAAACAAAAGCCUUUGCUUCAAGAAUGCAAGUGGCCUACUUGUCAGUAUAGCAGAACCAUGUACAGUCCCAUUUUCUCUUAAAACGCGAAUCUUCCCACCAGCAUCCGAUGACAAUAUAUACCUCGAUCUCCCAACAUGAUGCACUUCCAAAAUAGUUAUCGCUAAACCUUCUUCCGAAUGAUCAGUAGGAAUAAACUUACCGACAUUUUCCAUAGACAAUGAGCCCCAUUCCUCUCCAUUUAGACCUUCAAGAACCUUGUGCACCAAAAUCACACCAUUUUGAUGUCCUGUUACCACAAUACUCUCAUUCUUAUAAACUGAUAAGUAUGAAACCAUUGCAGUAACAGGCGAAUCACACACUGUGUAAAGCUCAAUCAAAACAUCCCCAUUCCUUGAGAACACAUAAACCCUGCCUUGAUCAUCCCCAACAGCCACAUACUUACUAAGACCCUCAAAAUCUCGAAAUGGCAAAACAUUAAUACAAGUUGCAUCCGAAUCUAAUUUCACCGCAGACACAAACUGAAACUUCUCUGACCAAAAUGGACUGUAUUUUGUAACAGAAACAGCUCUUGCUCUCUCCCCAUCUCGAGUUUUUUCCUCGAUACCCUCUUCUUGGACUUUAACAACCGAUCUUUUACCAUCAGAUUUUAUCUGAUUAAAUCUAUCUUGUUCUCGAUUCUGACUACCCUCUAAAGGUGCCACUACUUUAACCGACUCGGAUAAUUUUGUCUCUAAUCUAGCAACUACUUCACUGAGGUU
rnacentral:misc_RNA from 1 species